ACGCUGGCGGCAGGCUUAACACAUGCAAGUCGAACGGUAACAGGAAUUAGCUUGCUAAUUUGCUGACGAGUGGCGGACGGGUGAGUAAUGCUUGGGAAUCUGGCUUAUGGAGGGGGAUAACUACGGGAAACUGUAGCUAAUACCGCGUAAAAUCUUCGGAUUAGAGGGUGGGACUUUCGAGCCACCUGCCAUAAGAUGAGCCCAAGUGGGAUUAGGUAGUUGGUUAGGUAAAGGCUGACCAAGCCGACGAUCUCUAGCUGGUCUGAGAGGAUGACCAGCCACACUGGAACUGAGACACGGUCCAGACUCCUACGGGAGGCAGCAGUGGGGAAUAUUGCACAAUGGGGGGAACCCUGAUGCAGCCAUGCCGCGUGAAUGAAGAAGGCCUUCGGGUUGUAAAGUUCUUUCGGUGACGAGGAAGGUUGAUAGGUUAAUAGCCUAUCAAAUUGACGUUAAUCACAGAAGAAGCACCGGCUAACUCCGUGCCAGCAGCCGCGGUAAUACGGGGGGUGCGAGCGUUAAUCGGAAUAACUGGGCGUAAAGGGCACGCAGGCGGUGACUUAAGUGAGAUGUGAAAGCCCCGAGCUUAACUUGGGAAUUGCAUUUCAUACUGGGUCGCUAGAGUACUUUAGGGAGGGGUAGAAUUCCACGUGUAGCGGUGAAAUGCGUAGAGAUGUGGAGGAAUACCGAAGGCGAAGGCAGCCCCUUGGGAAUGUACUGACGCUCAUGUGCGAAAGCGUGGGGAGCAAACAGGAUUAGAUACCCUGGUAGUCCACGCUGUAAACGAUGUCGAUUUGGGGAUUGGGCUUUGAGCUUGGUGCCCGUAGCUAACGUGAUAAAUCGACCGCCUGGGGAGUACGGCCGCAAGGUUAAAACUCAAAUGAAUUGACGGGGGCCCGCACAAGCGGUG
rnacentral:rRNA from 1 species